CCUACGGGAGGCAGCAGUGAGGAAUAUUGGUCAAUGGACGAGAGUCUGAACCAGCCAAGUAGCGUGAAGGAUGACUGCCCUAUGGGUUGUAAACUUCUUUUAUAUGGGAGUAGAACGUUCCACGUGUGGGCUUUUGUAUGUACCAUAUGAAUAAGGAUCGGCUAACUCCGUUCCAGCAGCCGCGGUAAUACGGAGGAGCCGAGCGUUAUCCGGAUUUAUUGGGGUGAAAGGGAGAGUAGGUGGGUUGUUAAGUCAGUUGUGAAAGUUUGCGGCUCAACCGUAAAAUUGCAGUUGAAACUGGCAGGCUUGAGUACAGUAGAGGUGGGCGGAAUUCGUCGUGUAGCGGUGAAAUGCUUAGA
rnacentral:rRNA from 1 species